UAAUAAGUGUUCUAUGGCACUUUUUAAAUCCAUAUCCACCUUGUGUGCAAUGUCAGUUGAUCUUCUUAUGGAGAUCGACCAAACAUCAACCUAUUUUUUAACUCUUUGUCUGAAAAAUAUUAUGAAUAAAUAAUUCAAAAUA
rnacentral:misc_RNA from 1 species